rnacentral:lncRNA from 1 species
UACUGAUUUGAUGAAUAAUAGUUUUCUAUAAAAUUAAUGAAUGUUGCAUGUCUGGUAAAUAAUUUUUGUUCUUUUAAUGUAAAAUUCUCUUUCCAUCUUAAAUGAUCAGUCCCAGUUUAUUCUAAAUUUUUUUCACAUGAUUUUUCUUUAUUCAAAAUUUUUUCAGUUUAAUUAGAAGUUUUUUUAGUUUCUAAUUAAACUAAAAAAUAGAUUUUUUUAAGCAUUCUACUUAAACCAAUCAUAAAAUAUUUUUAAAAAAAUAUGUCCAUAAGUAAAGUCAACUCCUUAAAUAAAAUCAGGGUCUUCCCAAAUUCGACAUGAUGUAUUUGGUGAUGGUUAAUCACAGUGGCUCUCCUCCAGAAAACGACUGGACCCAGAAGUGGCAAGUAUCUACAAUUAUGUGUACCAAUAUAGAUUCAAAUCACAAUAUUAACAAUUUUUGCAUUUAUAUAUAAUAAUGGCAAAUAAUAUAUACAGUAAUGUUGAUAAGUUUUAUUAUUAAAAAUAUUAUGAUCAAGUUGAGAUGUCUUCCAAGAAUUGUAAUUUUUAUCGAUUGAUUUGCAAAGAUGUUUUCUAUGCAUUUCAAUUUUCAUAAAUUAUGUAGAUUUUCUGUGCAGUUUAGAAGAAGAAAGAAUAUACACCAAGUUUUGUUUUUAAACUAUGAAAAAUUUUUCUCAGAAAAUAUUAUUUAUACUUCAUUCUCUAUGUUAGUUUAUAUCAAAAAUCAUAUGACUGUUUUCAUCCAUUCUUUUACUCUUCUAAUUUUGUAUAAGCAUUGUUUAUGUAAUACUAAAUUGGAAAUUAUGC